CAGUAGAGGAAUGGGAGCCCAGAGAGACGGUGAUGAAUGAGAAGGAGACAAACAGCUCUAGCCUGUGUGCUCCUGUCUUGUUGAGGCUGAGGGCCUGCAGGGACAUUCUGAGUGAAGAACAUGCCAGGCCCACCUGUGGACUCCAGUCGCUGGUGAUGAAGCACCUGUCAUUCUGGAUAAGGAUAGCAUGUUCAUAAAAGGGAAAUGAGUGGAGAAGGAGGGAAGGAGUUGUGAGCAAAGCAUUUAAAGCGUUGCCAGAAUAUAAGCAACAGUGCUUCAUGUCGUGAAAAACUGAGAAAAGGAGUCUUUAUGUACAGGAAGAACUCAGCAGCUGACCUCAAGAAGAAAGGAAAACAUCCUCUCUUCACUUUUCUCUGGGAUGCCUGUGCCCAGGGUCUUGAGUUUCCGACUGGGGCAUAAUGGAUUUUUGGUGGCCUGUGACUUUAUUAUGGGUCUUUUCCCAAAGUGUUUUGAAAUGAUUUUAUCCAACAUGGAUGUCUUGAUCCAAGAGAAAAAAAGGGAUCCCUUCAAAGUCCUUUCCCCAGUUUCCUGCUUAGUCCCACUCCUAGAGCCCUAGGGGGUUCUGUAGCUCCUCUAUAUUUUCAGGGAACUGAGCUGAAGCCAAUACGAGAUUUUAAAAGAUACCCUAUCCUUAAGCAAAGUGAGUGAUGGUGCUCAGCAUCCAUGCCAACGGUCAAAUUUUGGCUGUUUUAUUCACAUAUCUAUGUAAUUUGUAGUUUUUUGGGGGGUGGGGUGGAGGUGGCUGGACCAACAACAAACAGCUAAUCUAAAUGAGACAUUCCUGGAAAAUGAGGCACAUAAAGCUUUCUCUUUUCAUAUCCAAAAUGGAAUAAACAAUUCCACCAGCGACCACAGGAAUGCUGCUGGGGCACGAGGGCUUCAGCCUUCCUGAUGGUCAGGCACUGACUUUAAGCUUAGACUCUAGAAUUUGUUAAUGAGAGGCCCUCCUGGACAGGAAGGAAGGAGGCUUGCUUGGGGUCUGAUCUGUAAAGCACACUGGUGGAAGCUGUUUACAUGCAGCUACACAAGAGGCUUCUUCCUGAGUACCAGGCCACCCUCAGUAAGGCACUGAGUGAGCACCAGGCAUCACCAGGAAUGAGGUCUCUGCCCCAGUCCUGGCCAAAUGGAAUAAGCAAACAGACUGAGGGUGUGUCAGUGGCUUUCCUGAGUUCCCGCACCUGGUAAAUGAUGGAGUUUAGACUUGAAAAUUCUGCCUCCUGUCUCCAGGUCCAGGGAUCUCUCUGGGACGUCAGAGAAGUCAGUUAAUCUCUGCCACUCCUUCCUACCUGGAUGUUCAAUGAAAAGCCUGUUGGGCUUUCUGAGGACUAGAAGGGGGACACUGCCGAGAAUUCAGUGAGGCCAGCCCACACCCCCACCCCUUCUAGGAGAUUACCUUUAGAUCCUCCAGCCCCAGUCUGCAGCCUCCUGGGCUGAUGCUUUCUUUCUCUAUUUACAGACACUAAUCAUUUCCCAUGCAAUUGAACAACUUAAUAAGCUGCGAAAAUUUGAUAAGACAAUUUAAUUGUCGGCUUUUACAUAUCUGCUCAAUAUAGUUGGGUUUCUAGGGAAGGUGAGUGGGGAAUGUGAGCAGAGGCACUUAAUUAAAGAACUAAAACAGUGGGGCUAGAUUAGAGAGAACUCUGGCAGACACCAACCCUGGACCUACGUCUCUUCUCUCCCCCUUUCACAUGGGCCCUUUCUUUGAAAUUUUAUAAGCUCCAUCCUCUGGGUAGUAGCAAAAUAGAGAUGCAGGCCCAGGCACUUGAUGUGCAGUGUGGGGAGCUGACUUUGCAUGGGGCGGCUCCCAACUGUUAUCGGGGAGCUUUUUCUCGGGCCCAAAGUGGUUGGGUUUUAAGGGGAAGACCUAAUUCUGCGUGUAUGGUCGUAGCUCAAAGGGAUAGUUCAAAAUGGCCUCCUCAUUGAUGGGGAAGGAUGGGGGCUGAUUAUAAAAAAUUAUAAUCAUUUUUUUGGUCUUUUCCUCUAUCUUUUUGGGGAAUUUUAUGGCCAUUUGGGCAAUGCUGCAUCAUGGAGUAUUGAUGCCAAUUUUAAAUCACACAUCCUCAUUUUAUCUAAUUGAAUUCUCAUGCUAACUCUGAAAGGAAUAGGAAUCAUUAUUCCUAUUUCACAGGUGCAGAUCCUGAGACUCAGAGAGGUUAAGAAACUCGCCCAACGCCACACAGCUAGAUAAACACCUCAGGAUUUAAAUAGAUUGCAGGGGACACCAACAAGGCUCUGCUCAGAUCCCCUCAGAUCCCUCUGGCCCAUCUGUGCAUGCAGUAACAUCUGCUUCACCGUUGACUGCUUGAACCUGUGGAUCCACUUCACCUAAGAGCACAGAGAGCUGAAAGGGCCUGGAAUCCUGUUGCCUCCCGGGCAGCCUGCAGCCAAUGAGUAACUGGUGCUGGAAAACAGAAGGCUGCUCCCUUGCUGGAGGUAGGACAAACACUGAGGUGUAAUCUAUGCUCCAGGGUCCCCCAGGGGAUCAGGCUGAGGUUGGGACUUUGCCUAAAAUCCCACCCUUGCUUGGUUUCUUCCCUUUCCCUGUUUUUCCUUCUUCUCUCACUCUCUCAUUUCUGUUCCUUCUUCCUUAAAUAAAUCUCCUGCACACAAAUUCUCAUCUCAAGGUGUGCCUCUGGGCAGCCUGAUGUGAGAUACAGAUGUGUGUUUGACCUCAGCCUGCCCUUUCUGGAGUCCUGCAGCCUCGCCCCUUGUUUUGUGGGGUUAUCAGAUCUCGCUACGUAGACUCGGGGUACGGAAUACAUCCAGCUUGGAAUUUCUGGGUGCUCGCAAGUUCUCAGUAGAACGCUCUUGGAAUGAAUUACUUAGCCUCUUUAGGCUGCAGUUUCAUCACCUAUAAGACAGAAAUAGUAAUUGUAUUGCUCUUAAAGGACUUUUACUUUGUGGAAAGCCAAUGAGUCUGCAUAUGUAGAACACAGCAGCGAGCACAUAGUAAGUGGUCGAUAAAUCUUCAUGAUUAUGAUUAUCAGUAUUCAAGUAUUUGCCAUCUCGUCAGACCUUGGCUUGUAGUUGGGAGUCAGAAAUGAGGUCACUGUGCUGUGAGUUCUUGUUGGGCAGGAAUCUGCCAUGUGUUCCGUGCACUUUAAGCACUUAUUAAAACAUUUCGGAUAGAAACAUUUUCACAAAGGCUGCUCAUUACUGUAGCCAGCAUUUGCCUACGAAUGUCAGGAAAACCAUUUUAUGAUGUUGCUGUAAUGUGUCGUGUUCACUGUCGCAUUCUCUCUUUCGGUCUCCCUUUCACUGGUGAGACACGUUUGCCAAGCAUUUCACAAAUGCAGUGGGGGGAAAAGGGAAGAGAGGAAGAGAUGGGAAAAGGAUAGUGAAGGGAGGAGCAGGAGCAGGCAGCUCGGCGGCAUUCCCCAGGCACCGCAUUAAGGGCCUGAUUAACUUAAAAUAUUUCCCAGCUUCUGAGGCACUUGAUUAAAGUCAAUUGGGGGGAAAGAAGAUAAGCUCUUACAAGGGCUAAUUUGAGGCUUAGAAAACUUGAAUAUGUCUAAAUCUCAAAUUGUCGGGUGUGUAGCGCUGGUGAUUGUCGGGUCUGUGGGGAGAGCGUUUUAACAUGCUGGCGGUGCAUCCGCGGUACCACCUGUCCCAGCUCCCUGGUCCCCACCCUUCCUCCAGGCAACUGCCUUGCGUCCCCUCCCAUCUUCCCUUUUCUUCCGCUUGUGAGGGCUUAGACGAUUUUGCCUUUUGAAGGCACGGAAAUAGAUGGCUUUACAUUCAGAACACAGCCUCUGCCUCCUUCUU
rnacentral:lncRNA from 1 species